rnacentral:rRNA from 1 species
AACGAACGCUGGCGGCAUGCCUAACACAUGCAAGUCGAACGAGACCUUCGGGUCUAGGGGCGCACGGGUGCGUAACGCGUGGGAACCUGCCCUUAGGUUCGGAAUAACUCCCCGAAAGGGGUGCUAAUACCGGAUAAUGUCUUCGGACCAAAGAUUUAUCGCCUUUGGAUGGGCCCGCGUUGGAUUAGCUAGUUGGUAGGGUAAAAGCCUACCAAGGCGACGAUCCAUAGCUGGUCUGAGAGGAUGAUCAGCCACACUGGGACUGAGACACGGCCCAGACUCCUACGGGAGGCAGCAGUGGGGAAUAUUGGACAAUGGGCGAAAGCCUGAUCCAGCAAUGACGCGUGAGUGAUGAAGGCCUUAGGGUUGUAAAGCUCUUUUACCUGGGAUGAUAAUGACAGUACCGGGAGAAUAAGCUCCGGCUAACUCCGUG